GGCGGAGUAGCUCAGCUGGUUAGAGCAUCGGAAUCAUAAUCCGAGUGUCGGGGGUUCGAGUCCCUCCUCCGCUACUA
rnacentral:tRNA from 1 species